AGAUUGAACGCUGGCGGCAUGCCUUACACAUGCAAGUCGAACGGUAACGCGGGGGCAACCCUGGCGACGAGUGGCGAACGGGUGAGUAAUACAUCGGAACGUACCCAGUAGUGGGGGAUAGCUCGGCGAAAGCCGGAUUAAUACCGCAUACGACCUACGGGUGAAAGCAGGGGAUCGCAAGACCUUGCGCUAUUGGAGCGGCCGAUGUCGGAUUAGCUUGUUGGUGAGGUAAAAGCUCACCAAGGCGACGAUCCGUAGCUGGUCUGAGAGGACGACCAGCCACACUGGGACUGAGACACGGCCCAGACUCCUACGGGAGGCAGCAGUGGGGAAUUUUGGACAAUGGGCGAAAGCCUGACGGAGCAAGACCGCGUGGGGGAAGAAGGCUCUUGGGUUGUAAACCCCUUUUCUCUGGGAAGAAAGUUGUGAAAGCAGCCUGACGGUACCAGAGGAAUCAGCAUCGGCUAACUCCGUGCCAGCAGCCGC
rnacentral:rRNA from 1 species